GAUGAACGCUGGCGGCGUGCCUAAUACAUGCAAGUCGAGCGAACAGACGAGGAGCUUGCUCCUCUGACGUUAGCGGCGGACGGGUGAGUAACACGUGGAUAACCUACCUAUAAGACUGGGAUAACUUCGGGAAACCGGAGCUAAUACAGGAUAAUAUAUUGAACCGCAUGGUUCAAUAGUGAAAGACGGCUUUGCUGUCACUUAUAGAUGGAUCCGCGCCGCAUUAGCUAGUUGGUAAGGUAACGGCUUACCAAGGCAACGAUGCGUAGCCGACCUGAGAGGGUGAUCGGCCACACUGGAACUGAGACACGGUCCAGACUCCUACGGGAGGCAGCAGUAGGGAAUCUUCCGCAAUGGGCGAAAGCCUGACGGAGCAACGCCGCGUGAGUGAUGAAGGUCUUCGGAUCGUAAAGCUCUGUUAUUAGGGAAGAACAAAUGUGUAAGUAACUAUGCACGUCUUGACGGUACCUAAUCAGAAAGCCACGGCUAACUACGUG
rnacentral:rRNA from 1 species